GGGGACUACAAGGAUGGGUACCGGGGGUACGCGGUGGCCGUGGGCGAGUUUGAUGAUGAUCCCAAAACCAAAGAGUACGUGGUGGGGGUCCCCAACAAGAGGAACACGAGGGGCGAGGUGGAGAUUUUCAGCGUGGGGGUGACCAUGCGCCGGCUGCAGGGAAUGGCCAGCGAGCAGGUACCCCCCACACUGGC
rnacentral:lncRNA from 1 species